CAAUCCAUCGACCUCUUAACUUCUCUCCACCUUUUCUCUUGCUUUUUUCCUUCUUCUCUCUCUCCACAUUCCUCUCCAUAAACCAAAAAUCUAUCUCAGAAUCUUUUCUUUUCCUCUCAUUCUCAAUUUUUUUAACAAUAAUUCUUUUUUCACAGUUUGUUUUCUCAUCUUCAUAUUGUCUCCAAUUCCUUCAAAUACGUUGUUUUAUUUCUUAGUAUUUUUGUUUCUUUUAUUUAAUAUGCUAGCAUGUUUAAAUCUAUGUUAAUAUGUGCUUCUUUAUCUUUUUAAAUCUUCAAGUAAGAUACUUCUUUGAAUAUUGAUCAUAAAACACUUUUUUAUAUGUAUUUAAUCAUAUGUCCAUAUUAAGUUUGUUAAAUCUCAAGUAUAUUUGACUUAUGUGUUUGUUGUGUGUUAACCUUUAAAUUGUUUUAUUUCCUGAAAAGCACUUGAAAAGUAUUUUCUUUGCUUCUUAUUUUGAGGUCUUUUUGUUAGAUUGUAUGUGUUUGCUGGUGUUUUUCAAUUAAAAGGCAAGAAAACAAGAUUCGGGAGUCAAAAGAAUCAAAUCGGACCAAAUCCCCUAAAAAAGAGAUGAAAUUUUGAAAAUUGGCAAAACAAAAAAAAAAAAAGGAGAGAGAGCGCCGCGAGCUACAGAAGCAAAGCCCUCGAAGUUUUGUCGCAGCACACGGCGACCUAGAGAGUCACAAUGCUACCUUUCCUAAUGUGAUUUUCUACAUUUUUGGAAAGUUUUUCCUAUAAAUUCAAAGGUUCAUCAGCCGUCCAAAUUAUGAAGUUUCAUUCCUAAAGUGAGUUUUCCUACAAAAAAGAGUAACAAGUGUGAUGGGAAGUGUUGGAGGUCGUUCAAGAUCCCAGGGUGAAAAUCAAGACAAGAUUGAUGAAUUUCGACGAUAGAGAAUCACUUCGACAGUAUUGAGCAACUAAGAGGUAGAAUUGACAAUUUGGAGUUGAAUGGGGUUAAUUUGAAUCAAUUUGGAGGUGAUUGGAGCAUUCGGGCUUCAAAGGAGUCAAAAAGACCAAAAGGCCCCUGCUUCAGCGUCGCGACGCGCGUAAAUUGCAUUGACCUGAUGCUCGCCCAAUGCUGUAAGACAGAAUACGUAGCAUUGCAAUGCUCACAAACAACGUUGCAACACUACGAUGUUGAAGGUUGGGAAACCCUCACAUGCGCGCAAGUAAGUGUCAGCCUACUAUUGCACUUCUGUGCCUGACGCUCGAAACCAGCUGCAACAGUGUUGCACUGCUCCACAUAGCAUCGUGACGCUGUCCCUUUUUCUAUAAAUAUAUUCUUCCGAUUUAGGUUAAAAGGAGAGUCAAAAAUUAAUAGGGAUAGGCUGAAUUUCGAUGGAGGCUGAGGAGAGACUCUAUUUUCUUCCUUUCUCUCUUUAUUUUUAGUAUCAUUAGGAUAGUUUUUAGUUUGGUUUUGGAUUAUGAACAUGUAUUGGAUCGUAUCUCAUUGGUUUAUCUAUGAAUCGGUGAAGUAAUCUUUCUAUCUA